UGGGGAAUAUUGGUCAAUGGACGCAAGUCUGAACCAGCCAUGCAGCGUGCAGGAUGACGGCCCUAUGGGUUGUAAACUGCUUUUAUAUGGGGAUAAAGUGGGGAACGUGUUCCCUUUUGCAGGUACCAUAUGAAUAAGGACCGGCUAAUUCCGUGCCAGCAGCCGCGGUAAUACGGAAGGUUCGGGCGUUAUCCGGAUUUAUUGGGUUUAAAGGGAGCGUAGGCCGUUUGGUAAGCGUGUUGUGAAAUGUAGGAGCUCAACUUCUAGAUUGCAGCGCGAACUGUCAGACUUGAGUGCGCACAACGUAGGCGGAAUUCAUGGUGUAGCGGUGAAAUGCUUAGAUAUCAUGAAGAACUCCGAUUGCGAAGGCAGCUUACGGGAGCGCAACUGACGCUGAAGCUCGAAGGUGCGGGUAUCGAACAGG
rnacentral:rRNA from 1 species